rnacentral:rRNA from 1 species
CCUACGGGUGGCAGCAGUGGGGAAUAUUGGACAAUGGGCGAAAGCCUGAUCCAGCCAUGCCGCGUGUGUGAAGAAGGCCUUCGGGUUGUAAAGCACUUUCAGUGGGGAAGAAAGCCUUGGGGCUAAUACCCUCGAGGAAGGACAUCACCCACAGAAGAAGCACCGGCUAACUCCGUGCCAGCAGCCGCGGUAAUACGGAGGGUGCGAGCGUUAAUCGGAAUUACUGGGCGUAAAGCGCGCGUAGGCGGUCUGAUAAGCCGGUUGUGAAAGCCCCGGGCUCAACCUGGGAACGGCAUCCGGAACUGUCAGGCUAGAGUGCAGGAGAGGAAGGUAGAAUUCCCGGUGUAGCGGUGAAAUGCGUAGAGAUCGGGAGGAAUACCAGUGGCGAAGGCGGCCUUCUGGACUUACACUGACGCUGAGGUGCGAAAGCGUGGGUAGCAAACAGGAUUAGAUACCCCUGUAGUC